UCAAAUGAAUAAGGGCUUACGGUGGAUACCUAGGCACCCAGAGACGAUGAAGGGCGUAGUAACCGACGAAACGCUUCGGGGAGCUGGAAACAAGCUUUGAUCCGUAGAUUCCCGAAUAGGGCAACCUCCUGUACUCUUUAUUGAAUUCAUAGAUAAAAGAGAGGUAACCUAGUGAACUGAAACAUCUUAGUAGCUAGUGGAAAAGAAAGCAAAAGCGAUUCCCUGAGUAGCGGCGAGCGGAAAGGGAACAGCCUAAACCGGAGAUAUUCGGGGUUGUGGGACUUAUAAAAUUUAAUUAAAUUAAUAAAAGAAAAAUAAGGUGAAACAGAUGAAUCCUGUACCAUAGAUGGUGAUAGUCCAGUAACUUAAUAUAUAUAAUAUUUAUAAGAAUCCCGAGUAGCAUGGGGCACGUGAAAUCCCGUGUGAAUCUACGAGGACCACCUCGUAAGGCUAAAUACUCCUGGGUGACCGAUAGUGAAACAGUACCGUGAGGGAAAGGUGAAAAGAACCCCCAUCGGGGAGUGAAAAAGAACAUGAAACCGUAAGCUUACAAGCAGUGGGAGGGGUAAAGCCCCUGACCGCGUGCCUGUUGAAGAAUGAGCCGGCGACUUAUAGGCACUGGCAGGUUAAAGCUUUUUUCGGCUGGAGCCAUAGCGAAAGCGAGUCUGAAUAGGGCGUAUGCAUAUUGCAUGUCCGUGUCUAUGGACCCGAACCCGGGUGAUCUAACCAUGGCCAGGAUGAAGCUUGGGUAAAACGAAGUGGAAGACCGAACCGACCGAUGUUGAAAAAUCGGCGGAUGAGCUGUGGUUAGGGGUGAAAUACCAAUCGAACUCGGAGCUAGCUGGUUCUCCCCGAAAUGCGUUGAGGCGCAGCGGUUAGUUAUGAACUGUCUAGGGGUAAAGCACUGUUUCGGUGCGGGCUGGGAAACUGGUACCAAAUCGUAGCAAACUCAGAAUACUAGACAUGUCUUCAACUAACCAGUGAGACAGUGGGGGAUAAGCUUCAUUGUCAAGAGGGAAACAGCCCAGAUCACCAGUUAAGGCCCCUAAAUGACUGCUAAGUGGCAAAGGAGGUGAGAGUGCUUAGACAACCAGGAGGUUUGCCUAGAAGCAGCCACCCUUGAAAGAGUGCGUAAUAGCUCACUGGUCAAGCGCUCUUGCGCCUAAAAUGAACGGGACUAAGCAGUCUGCCGAAGCUGUGAAAUUAACAAUUAAAUAAUAAAAAGUUAAAUGGUAGGGGAGCGUUCCGCUGUAGGUAGAAGCUCUAGUGUAAACAAGAGUGGACGACGCGGAAGUGAGAAUGUCGGCUUGAGUAACGAAAACAUUGGUGAGAAUCCAAUGCCCCGAAAACCUAAGGUUUCCUCCGCAAGGCUCGUCCACGGAGGGUGAGUCAGGACCUAAGGCAAGGCCGAAAGGCGUAGUCGAUGGGAAACAGGUUAAUAUUCCUGUACUGAAUCUUUUGGAAGUCCCGAGGGACGGAGGAGGUUGAUCUUGGCCGGACACUGGUUCCCGGUUCAAGUAGUAAGGUGUUGAUAGGUAGAAUAAAAAAUAUCUUGAGCUGAGCUACGAAGAAGUUUGUCUAUGUACAAAACCGCAAGUAAAAUCAUACUCCCUAGAAAAGCUCGAACGAUUAAAGUAAAAAAGAUUUAUAUCUUUAAACCUUUUAAAAAAGAUUUACCUUUUUUCAAAAAAAAAGAUUUACCUGUACCCGAAACCGACACAGGUAGGUAGGUAGAGAAUACCAAGGGGCGCGAGAUAACUCUCUCUAAGGAACUCGGCAAAAUGGCCCCGUAACUUCGGGAGAAGGGGUACCUUGAUUUAUUUUUUAAAGGUCGCAGUGACCAGGCCCAAGCGACUGUUUACCAAAAACACAGGUCUCCGCUAAGUCGUAAGACAAUGUAUGGGGGCUGACGCCUGCCCAGUGCCGGAAGGUUAAGGAAGUUGGUUAGCUUCUAUUUGAAGUAAAGCUGGCGACCGAAGCCCCGGUGAACGGCGGCCGUAACUAUAACGGUCCUAAGGUAGCGAAAUUCCUUGUCGGGUAAGUUCCGACCCGCACGAAAGGCGUAACGAUUUGGGCACUGUCUCAGAGAGAGACUCGGUGAAAUAGAAUUGUCUGUGAAGAUGCGGACUACCUGCACCUGGACAGAAAGACCCUAUGAAGCUUUACUGUAGCCUGGAAUUGGUUUCGGGCUCUUCUUGCGCAGCUUAGGUGGAAGGCUGAGAACAUACCCUUCCGGGGGUUUGUGAGCCAUCAGUGAGAUACCACUCUGGAAGAGCUAGAAAUCUAAUGGCGAUCCUUGAAUCAGGACGCUUGACAGUUUCAGGCGGGCAGUUUUACUGGGGCGGUAGCCUCCCAAAAGGUAACGGAGGCGUGCAAAGGUUCCCUCAGGCUGGACGGAAAUCAGUCGGAGAGUAUAAAGGCAGAAGGGAGCUUGACUGCAAGACCUACAAGUCGAGCAGGGACGAAAGUCGGCCUUAGUGAUCCGACGGUGCCGUGUGGAAGGGCCGUCGCUCAACGGAUAAAAGUUACUCUAGGGAUAACAGGCUGAUCUCCCCCAAGAGUUCACAUCGACGGGGAGGUUUGGCACCUCGAUGUCGGCUCAUCGCAACCUGGGGCGGAAGUACGUCCCAAGGGUUGGGCUGUUCGCCCAUUAAAGCGGUACGUGAGCUGGGUUCAGAACGUCGUGAGACAGUUCGGUCCAUAUCCGGUGUAGGCGUUAGAGUAUUGAAAGGAUCUUUCCCUAGUACGAGAGGACCGGGAAGGACGCAUCUCUGGUGUACCAGUUCUCGUGCCAACGGGACACGCUGGGUAGCCAAGUGCGGAGCGGAUAACUGCUGAAAGCAUCUAAGUAGGAAGCCCACCUUAAGAUGAGUACUCUCUUAAUAUAUUGCUAUAUUGCUAAGGUCACGGCAAGACUAGCCGUUUAAUAGAUAUCAAGUGGAAGGUGAGUAAUCAUUGCAGCUAAGAUAUACUAACAGACCGAGAAGUUUGACUUU
rnacentral:rRNA from 1 species